rnacentral:rRNA from 1 species
GUGUCAGCAGCCGCGGUAAUACGUAGGGGGCAAGCGUUGUCCGGAUUUAUUGGGCGUAAAGAGCGUGUAGGCGGCCUGACAAGUCUGCUGUGAAAACUCGAGGCUCAACCUCGAGAUGUCGGCGGAAACUGUCUGGCUAGAGUCCGGAAGAGGAGAGUGGAAUUCCUGGUGUAGCGGUGAAAUGCGCAGAUAUCAGGAAGAACACCUAUGGCGAAGGCAGCUCUCUGGGACGGUACUGACGCUGAGACGCGAAAGCGUGGGGAGCGAACAGGAUUAGAUACCCCGGUAGUCC